UUUAAACAGCAGGUGAUCAAAUUUAGUGCAUGUUAGUUUGUCAAAGCUGCAUUUUCAAGUUGUAACAGAUUGGUGCCUUAGACUAUGGGAUGGACAUGGACAGAAGAAAAAUCUGAUGGUGAAUAUAAGAAAAGCUGUGAAAAAAGAAAUGGAGAGGAGUGUGGGGAUGGUUAAUUCACAGAGAAGGGAAGCCGGCCUUGCCUGGAGUCAGCAGCCAGGAGUCCAGCAUUCACAUUCUCCCCAGAAGGAACAAAAGGCCACAUGUGCCCUGUUUUGCAGAUGUGCCUUCCCCACGCCUCCAUGGGGGCCUUUGGCCCAGUUCUCAUUGGCAGUGUCACUUCCUGAUACUCAUUUUCCAGAAGCCUCCCAGGUGAUUAGCCAUCAUAUGUCUCCAAGAAAGGAAGUGUUCGGCACAUAAUCUGCCAAUGAUUGCUGAUGACAACACAAGUGUCAGACACUGUGUUAGCAAUGACAAGGACAUGGUCUCUGCCUUCUAGUACGUGAGGAGUCUGGCCUUGAGCCUCACCCUGAGGCUGCAGUGUACUCAAAGUUGUAACAGACCAGGACAGAGGGCUGAGGGUACAGGAGAAAGGGUGCCCAGCCUUGAAGAGUCAGGAGAGACAUCAGUACAGUUAAUACAGGCUCCAUGGAGUGGGGAGGAACAGGAGGGACAGACAGCAGCAGGAAACUCAUCUGGAAAGGUGUGCAAGGGUCAGAGCACAGGCUAGUGGAGAGAGCCAGGAAAAGGCAUGUGGGCCUUGAAAGCAGACGGACCCAGCUCAUCUAAUGACUGGCUGUAAAACCUUAGGCAAAUUACAUCAUUUCUGAAGCUUCAGAGCUUCUUAUAUGUGGAUUGGGAGAAACUAGUUACUCACAAUUCUUCCUUCCCACCCCACCUUUCCCAAGGCCCACUGUAGGCAGAGAAUGCUCCCUAUGCUGUUGCUGAUGGGCUUGGCCCUAUGCCUCAUCUCAGCCAUUGGAAUAUGGGUGGGAGUAAGAUGGGGCAGCUCCAAGCCAAGGCCUUAAGAGCCACCACUUUCUUCCUUCUAGCCCCACUGUGCCUCUGUAUCUGCCAUGAGAAGGGCAUGCCUGGGAGCUGCUGGUCCAAGAACAAGGAGUCAGAGAACAGCCCUGAAAUCAACCCACAGCCUGAUGCAGAGUGGCCCCAACCCACAGACCUAGUUGCAUAAAAGGUUUGGUGGGAAGGAAACUCGAUUCAACAAAGUCAAACAUACCUGAGUGCCUACGAUGCACACGGCGCUGGCCUGGGCAGGACAGUACAGAGGGGUGAGCUAUAGCCGGGGCAGACAGCAACCAACAUCAGCAGGAACAGAGGCUGGCGCCUGUCCCAACACCCGGCGACCCUCAGGCCUUCAGCUGCCGGCUGCAGACAACCUAAAAGGGUUUCUAUCUUUUGAUAGGCCCCACCUACUUACAAAGAACCCUCAGAUGAUUCUGUCAGCCAAGGAAGGGGCCUAACAGUGACUUACACAUCUCUGCAAAGACACUCAUGGAAACUACCAUACUAAUGAACAUAGUCCUUUAUUCAUCAACGUAAACAGAAAACCAAAGAUUGCAAAUAUAUUAGGAAAACCAACAGCAUGGAAGAGAAGAUCCAAGUUGGACCAAUAGAAAAAUUGACCUUGGAGGAAACAGAGAUAAUUUAGGAAAGAAAGAUUUUAUAAAAAUUGUGGUCACUAUCUUCAGAAUAAUUUGAGAAGAUGCUGCAUUCAAGAACUGAGAAGAGGUGGCUAUGGGAAAGGAACAAGCAAAGAACAAGAAAAGAUUCUUGGGAAUUAAAAGUGGGAUUGCAAUAGGGAACACUCAAUAAGUGCGCCAAAUAAUAAAUUGGAUGCAGCGAAAGACCAAGCAGUUGAUCUGGAAUCAAGGAAUCUCAGAAUGUAGAGCAAGAAAAACAAAGAGACAGCAAACAUAAGAGAGUGCCAAGGACAGACACAGAGAUCCAGCAUCUGUCUGAUUAGGAAAGAACAGAGAAAAUGAAAGAGAGAGAAUACCCAAAGAAGUCACAGAACAACAUUUUCUUAAGCUCAAGAAAUAUGUGAGUCUUUAAGACUGAAAGUGUUCACUGAACAAAAUUAAGGUAAAAGGGUUAAACUCUUAGGCAUGGUGGCUCAUGCCUAUAAUCCCAGCACUUUGGGAGGCUAAGGCAGGAGGAUCACUUGAGCCCAGA
rnacentral:lncRNA from 1 species